AGUUCACAGAAAAUCAGAGGAAGCCCAAGAGAAACAACAUAAAUAUUUACUAAACUAUGGCAGAUAAUGAAUAGUCACCAGCAAAGGCCCUACAUUUGCUUUAGAUUCCAUCACAACAUGUUCAUCCAGUUACAAAUGAAGAUGUUGGAAGAAGCUAUAUUUCAAUGUACGACACGUAAAAUACAGGAGACGUUCUAGGAACAGCCCAUUGUUCUUUACGUCUCUUCCCUCUUGGCCUGCAGGGUUAGUACUGGGUAUUACAGGUUUAGUAACAGGGUAUUACAGGGUUAGUGCUGGGUAUAACAGGUUUAGUAACAGGGUAUUACAGGUUUAGUAACAGGGUAUUACAGGUUUAGUAACAGGGUAUUGCAGGGUUAGUAACAGGGUAUUACAGGGUUAGUACUGGGUAUUACAGGUUUAGUAACAGGGUAUUACAGGGUUAGUACUGGGUAUUACAGGUUUAGUAACAGGGUAUUACAGGGUUAGUACUGGGUAUUACAUGGUAUUACAUGGUAGAAGUGUUUCUCUAAAUGACAGGAGGGUAAUAUGAUGGUAAAUCCUCAGCACGCCACGCCAGGAGGACUAUUACUGUCACAGAGAGAGCCAAGUGGC